rnacentral:lncRNA from 10 species
GAUCCUGCGCCUUGAGCACAAAGUAGGAAGAAUGGCGACCCCAUGCGAGAGACCUUUAGGGGUCUGAGACUGAUCCAAGUUGUGCUGUGAGGAGCGAGUCGUGCGUUAGUGGAGGGACAGUGUAUUCAUGAAGCGUGUGUGUGGAGGGUGUGUGUGUGUGAGAGAGAGAGAGAAGGAAGGAAGGAAAGAACGGAGGAAGGAAGGGAGGGAGGGAGAGAGGAGAGUG